rnacentral:lncRNA from 10 species
GCCAUGCCUGAGCCCCCACCCCCUCCCCGCCACCCCCAGCCCACUGCUGUGGACUCCUGCGCCGCCCGAGCCUCCUCGACGAGCACCGCCCCCUGCUCCAGGGCGCCCAGUCCCAUAGACCGCCCGAAGGCUGAGGACUGCUGGCGCAUGGCGCGGGACUGGCAGGCAGCUCCACCUGCGGCCCCUGUGCGGGAUCCACUGCGUGAAGCCAGCUGGGCUCCUGAGUAUGGUGGGGACUUGAAGUAUCUUUAUGUCUAGGUAAGGGAUUGUAAAUACACCAGUCAGCACUCUGUAUCUAGCUCAAGUUUUGUAAACACACCAAUCAGCACCCUGUGUCUAGCUCAGGGUUUGUGAAUGCACCAAUGGACACUGCAUCUAGCUAAUCUAGUGGGGAGGUGGAGAACUUUUGUGUCUAGCUCAGGGAUUGUAAAGCACCAAUCAGCACCCUGUUAAAACAGACCAAUCAGCUCUCUGUAAAAUGGACCAAUCAGCAGGAUGUGGGUGGGACCAGAUAAGAGAAUAAAAGCAGGCUGCCUGAGCUGGCGGUGGCAAUGCUUCCCUGUCUCCUUCUGUACUGUGGAAGCUUUGCUCUUUUACUCUGCAAUAAAUCUUGCUGCUGCUAACUGUUUGGGUCCACGCUACCUCUAUAAGCUGUAACACUCACCAUAAAGGUCUUACAGCUUCAUUCCUGAAGCCAGUGAGACCACGAACCCAGCAGGAGGAACGAACAACUCCAGACGCGCUGCCUUAAGAGCUGUUAACACUCACCGCAAGGUCUGCAGCUUCACUCCUGAAGCCAGAGAGACCACGAACCCAGCAGGAGGAAUGAACAACUCCAGAUGCGCCGCCUUAAGAGCUGUAACGCUCACCGCGAAGGUCUGCAGCCUCACUCCUGAGCCAGCGAGACCACGAACCCACCAGAAGGAAGAAACUCCGAACACAUCCGAACCUCGGAAGGAAGAAACUCCAAACACAUCCAAACAUCAGAAGGAACAAACUCUGCACACACCGCCUUUAAGAACUGUAACACUCACCACCAGGGUUCGCGGCUUCAUUCUUGAAGUCAGUGAGACCAAGAAGCCACCAAUUCCGGACACAAUAUGAAGGGGGAAUCUGGAAUAUUUCAAGAUAAGGUCCAAUUCUUCCAUUGUCUCGUAAUCCAAUGCAGAGGUAAGUAGGGGCCAGAGCAUUCUUGGAUAGAGUUGUGGCUCUGCUCUGAGUGUAAGGGAGAUGGGUAUUCUGUAGCCUUGCUACAGGCUUAUUGUGUAAGAGAGAGAGUGGCUUUUAGUGCAGGAAAUACAAUUAGGACUUAUGUAGCAAGCAAUGGGUAGAUACUAGCUGUUCAGUGAUUUGUGAUAAUGCCCAGCCCCAUUGCUAUUCUACUCUCUAUGCAAGCAUCAGAGCAGCCAUGUAUGCAGCAAAUAAGCAGUCAGGACCUAGACACCAAGAGGUCUAGGGUUAGAUGCCAGCCAAUCAGUUGUCAUGGAACAUCGGCUGCUUUUAUUGAUCCGUCUUUAAGACAGCCUCACUGAGAUAUAAUCUACAUUCCAUAAAUUUUCGUGUUUAAGUGUAUAAUUCAGUGAAUUUUAGUAUAUUAUCAGUGUUGCACAAUAACCUAAUUUUACCUUUAUCACACCUGAACUUUAGAACAUUUCCGUCCCCCUAAAAAGAGACCUUAUGUCCCUUUACAGUCACUCUCUAUUUCCACUCCUAAUCUA